GGGGCGCUGAUGGCGGGAAGUGGGGGGGGGUGCUGACUGUGGGAAGUGGGGGGCGUUGACUGUGGGAAGUUUGGGGGCUUCCAGGCUGCCACUGCUUGGAGGCAGGUGCGGGGCAGGGAGGUGGCGUGGUCCAGGGCCUGGCCCCCUUUGCCCGGGAAGCUACGGGCCCUCGAGGCUUCGAGCGGAGGGAUGGCUGGGAAGCGACAGCACAGAACAAGGUGACCCGGUGAGCAGGCCGCUGCUCGUUUCCAGGCCGAGUCCCGAGGGAGCCCAUAUGCUGAGCAGAGCGUGUUGCCGGAGGGUGGGUUUUGGGCUGGGAGCGGCCGCCAGGCCUGGGGCUGGACUCCCAGGGCCGAGAGAGCUGGAGCCCCAGGAAGGGCCUGGAGGCCGAGAGGCUGCUAGAGGCUCAGACACAGGGGCAGUCCUAGAGCUCGGAGCCCCUCAGGGACCAGGCUGGGAGCUGGGCAGCCUGCAGGCGGCCCGGGCCACCCCCUACCCCAUGCAGAGAGUUGAGGCUCUGAGGUUCUUCGUGGCCAACACUGAAACAAAUUCAAGGCCCAAAGCCAUGAAGGGGGGGCAGGGGGAGGAUGCUGGCACCGGGAGAGCUGCACACAGGCCUCGGGGACCGCCUUCCAGAAGGGGCCACAGCACCAGCUCUGUCCCGGCCUGGGGUGGACUCUCUGGGCCGGCUGACCCUCCACCAUCCCGGGCCUCCUGCUGCCUCCUGGGCAACAGCUGGGUGUGGCUGGGGCAGGAGGGGCUGUCCCUUGGCCACAUCACAGCUGGCAAGCUCUGGCAGAGCUGGCACUGGUCACUGGCCCCUGGCAACCAGACCCUUCCAGGCUGGGAGGUGUUUAUGGUCCCUUGACCCAGAGGGGCCCAGCCAGGUCCUGUUCCAUGGCGGCAGUCCGGCGCCAGGCCUCUUCUCUGCGCCCACCCCAGGCCCCCGCUGCACUCCGGCCCUUCCUCUGCUAAGGAGUCUCAAGGUGGAAACAGUGCUUGGCCGGGCGUUUGCUCUGUUGAAACAGCGUGUGGUGCCUUCCGCAACGACGGCUCUGUCCCGGGGUCGGUCUGCAAAGGCAGAAGAAAACCCAGGGUCACGUUGGACAGAGUCCUUGUCACCACCGUGCUCACGCUCUGGCAGGGGAAGCGACGGGGCACGCCUCGGAUCAGGCACCACCAGGGUUGGAAGGAGUGUGGCUGAGCAUGCGGGGGUGGGGGCAGCUGGGGAGGGGACAUUGGAUAAGAUCUGA
rnacentral:lncRNA from 1 species